CGGGACACGUGGUAUCCUGUCUGAAUAUGGGGGGACCAUCCUCCAAGGCUAAAUACUCCUGACUGACCGAUAGUGAACCAGUACCGUGAGGGAAAGGCGAAAAGAACCCCGGCGAGGGGAGUGAAAAAGAACCUGAAACCGUGUACGUACAAGCAGUGGGAGCACGCUUAGGCGUGUGACUGCGUACCUUUUGUAUAAUGGGUCAGCGACUUAUAUUCUGUAGCAAGGUUAACCGAAUAGGGGAGCCGAAGGGAAACCGAGUCUUAACUGGGCGUUAAGUUGCAGGGUAUAGACCCGAAACCCGGUGAUCUAGCCAUGGGCAGGUUGAAGGUUGGGUAACACUAACUGGAGGACCGAACCGACUAAUGUUGAAAAAUUAGCGGAUGACUUGUGGCUGGGGGUGAAAGGCCAAUCAAACCGGGAGAUAGCUGGUUCUCCCCGAAAGCUAUUUAGGUAGCGCCUCGUGAAUUCAUCUCCGGGGGUAGAGCACUGUUUCGGCAAGGGGGUCAUCCCGACUUACCAACCCGAUGCAAACUGCGAAUACCGGAGAAUGUUAUCACGGGAGACACACGGCGGGUGCUAACGUCCGUCGUGAAGAGGGAAACAACCCAGACCGCCAGCUAAGGUCCCAAAGUCAUGGUUAAGUGGGAAACGAUGUGGGAAGGCCCAGACAGCCAGGAUGUUGGCUUAGAAGCAGCCAUCAUUUAAAGAAAGCGUAAUAGCUCACUGGUCGAGUCGGCCUGCGCGGAAGAUGUAACGGGGCUAAACCAUGCACCGAAGCUGCGGCAGCGACACUAUGUGUUGUUGGGUAGGGGAGCGUUCUGUAAGCCUGUGAAGGUGUACUGUGAGGUAUGCUGGAGGUAUCAGAAGUGCGAAUGCUGACAUAAGUAACGAUAAAGCGGGUGAAAAGCCCGCUCGCCGGAAGACCAAGGGUUCCUGUCCAACGUUAAUCGGGGCAGGGUGAGUCGACCCCUAAGGCGAGGCCGAAAGGCGUAGUCGAUGGGAAACAGGUUAAUAUUCCUGUACUUGGUGUUACUGCGAAGGGGGGACGGAGAAGGCUAUGUUGGCCGGGCGACGGUUGUCCCGGUUUAAGCGUGUAGGCUGGUUUUCCAGGCAAAUCCGGAAAAUCAAGGCUGAGGCGUGAUGACGAGGCACUACGGUGCUGAAGCAACAAAUGCCCUGCUUCCAGGAAAAGCCUCUAAGCAUCAGGUAACAUCAAAUCGUACCCCAAACCGACACAGGUGGUCAGGUAGAGAAUACCAAGGCGCUUGAGAGAACUCGGGUGAAGGAACUAGGCAAAAUGGUGCCGUAACUUCGGGAGAAGGCACGCUGAUAUGUAGGUGAAGUCCCUCGCGGAUGGAGCUGAAAUCAGUCGAAGAUACCAGCUGGCUGCAACUGUUUAUUAAAAACACAGCACUGUGCAAACACGAAAGUGGACGUAUACGGUGUGACGCCUGCCCGGUGCCGGAAGGUUAAUUGAUGGGGUUAGCGCAAGCGAAGCUCUUGAUCGAAGCCCCGGUAAACGGCGGCCGUAACUAUAACGGUCCUAAGGUAGCGAAAUUCCUUGUCGGGUAAGUUCCGACCUGCACGAAUGGCGUAAUGAUGGCCAGGCUGUCUCCACCCGAGACUCAGUGAAAUUGAACUCGCUGUGAAGAUGCAGUGUACCCGCGGCAAGACGGAAAGACCCCGUGAACCUUUACUAUAGCUUGACACUGAACAUUGAGCCUUGAUGUGUAGGAUAGGUGGGAGGCUUUGAAGUGUGGACGCCAGUCUGCAUGGAGCCGACCUUGAAAUACCACCCUUUAAUGUUUGAUGUUCUAACGUUGACCCGUGAUCCGGGUUGCGGACAGUGUCUGGUGGGUAGUUUGACUGGGGCGGUCUCCUCCUAAAGAGUAACGGAG
rnacentral:rRNA from 1 species